GUGGGAUAACCUUGCUAGCUGAAGCUUCUGGCUCUCUUUUUUUCUUCUUCCCGUGCAGGAAACUUGCUUCCCUUCUUCCUGCCCUUGGACAUGAGACUCCAGGUUCUUAUGCGUUUGGACUCUGGGACUUGCACCAGUGGCUUCCCCGAGGCUCUCAGGCCCCCGGCCUCAGACUGAAGACUGCACUGCGGGCUUUCCUGGUUUUGAGGCUUUUGGACUUGGACUGAGCCACUACUAGCUUCUCUCUUUCCCUACCUGGCAGACAGCCUGUUGUGGGACUGCCUUCUAACCGUGUGAACCAAUUCUCUCUGGGAGCUUAUAGCUUCAUUGCACUGUGUGUGGCAUUUGGGUCCUGUUUGACAGCAAUGACUGCCUUUCUGUUUAGUGUCUGUGUGCUAUGAAGAUUGCACACAGGGGUCCAGAUGCAUCCUGUUUUGAGAAUGUUAAUGGAUACACCAGCUGCUGCUUUGGAUUUCACCCAUUGGUGGUAGUUGACCCGCUGUUUGGAAUGCAGACAAUUUAAGUGAAGACAUAUCCAUAUAUGUGGCUCUGUUACAAUGGUGAAAUCUACAACCAUAAGAAGGUGCAGCACCGUUUUGAAUUUGAAUACCAGACCAAAGUGGAUGGUGACAUAAUCCUUCAUCUUUAUGACAAAGGAGGAAUUGAGCAAACAAUUUGUAUAUUGGAUAGUGUGUUUGCAUUUGUUUUACUGGAUUCUGCCAAUAAGAAAGUGUCCCUGGACAGAGAUACAUAAAGAGUCAGACCUUUGUUUAAAGCAGUGACAGAAGAUGGAUUUUUGGCUGUGUGUUCAGAAGCUAAAGAAUUGUAAUUGUUCCUUAUGUAUGCCAGACACAAAUCCCUUGUGUUCAUCAGGGUUGCAGGAUUCAAGAUCAAUAUACAAAAAUCAAUAGUAUUUGACACACUUUAACUGAAUACUACAUACUCACAAUGAGCAAUCAGAAAAUGAAAUUAAGAAAGCAACUUUAUUUAUCAUAGCAUCAACAAGAAUAAAAUACUGAUACAUUUAAGAAGUGUAAAACUUGUACUCUGAAAACUAUAAAACAUUGUUGAAAGAAAUGAAAGAAGAUCUAAAUAAAUGUAAAAGUAUCCCAUGAUCAUGGACCUAAGGCUUAACAUUGUUAAGAAGGCAGUACUCCCUAAACUCAUCUACAGAUUUAACUUCAUCCCUGUCAGAAUCCCAGAUGAGUUCUCUGUAAAAUCGGCAAGCUGACUCUGAAAUUCAUAUGGAAUUGCAAGGGACUAAGAAUAGCCAAAAUAAUCUUUUGAAAAUGAGAAACAAAGUAGAAGAACUCAUACUUACUGACUUUAAAACUUACUACAAGACAAUGGUAAUCAGGACAAUAUAAUACUGGCAGAAGGAUAGAUGUAUAGACCAGUGGGAUAGAAUUGAGAGUCAGAUAUGAACCCAUACAUAUAUAACCACUGCUUUUGACAAGAGUGCCAAGAUUAUUCAGUGGGGAAAGAAGUUUGAGAACUGGCACAAGGACAACUAGAUAUGUAAACAUAUGCAAAACCUGGAGUAGGACCUUUACCCAACACCAUAUACAAAAACUAUGGGUGCAAAGUAAUUGGAUCAAAUGGAUCCAUUUUGAGCUAAUCCACAUAAAUGUAAGGACUAAAACUAUAAAAUCCUGAGAAACAAACAUAGAAGUAAAUUGUCAUGACCUUGAAUUUGGCAAAGUUUUCUUAAAUAUGAGACCAGCAACAGGAAUAAAAAUUGAUGAACUAGACUUCAUCAAAAUUAAACAUUUUUGCACUUCAAAGGACACCAUCAAGAAAGUGAAAAGACAACUCACAAGAUGGAAGAAAAUACUUGUAAAUCAUGUGUAGCACUUUUUGAUGAUAAACUUGAGGAAGACUUUUUUAUUUUUUAUUUUUAUUAUACUUUAAG